GACGAACGCUGGCGGCGUGCUUAACACAUGCAAGUCGAACGGGCCUUGUCCCCUUUUUUUUUUGGGGGUGGGGUUAGUGGCGAACGGGUGAGUAACACGUGAGUAACCUGCCCCUCACUUCUGGAUAACCGCUUGAAGGGGUGGCUAAUACGGGGUGUUCUGGCCUGCUCGCAUGGGUGGGUUUGGAAAGAUUCGACCGGUUUGGUUGUUUUGGUGGGGGAUGGGCUCGCGGCCUAUCAGCUUGUUGGUGGGGUGAUGGCCUGCCAAGGCUUUGACGGGUAGCCGGCCUGAGAGGGUGGGCGGUCACACUGGGACUGAGACACGGCCCAGACUCCUACGGGAGGCAGCAGUGGGGAAUAUUGCACAAUGGGCGCAAGCCUGAUGCAGCGACGCCGCGUGAGGGAUGGAGGCCUUCGGGUUGUGAACCUCUUUCGCCAGUGAAGAAGGUCCUGCUCUUUGUGGUGGGGUUGACGGUAGCUGGGUUAAUGAAGCGCCGGCUAACUACGUG
rnacentral:rRNA from 1 species